rnacentral:rRNA from 1 species
UGCCAGACUCCUACGGGAGGCAGCAGUGGGGAAUAUUGCACAAUGGGGGAAACCCUGAUGCAGCGACGCCGCGUGAGUGAAGAAGUCUUUCGGUAUGUAAAGCUCUAUCAGCAGGGAAGAAAAUGACGGUACCUGACUAAGAAGCCCCGGCUAACUACGUGCCAGCAGCCGCGGUAAUACGUAGGGGGCAAGCGUUAUCCGGAUUUACUGGGUGUAAAGGGAGCGUAGACGGCAUGGCAAGUCAGAUGUGAAAGCCCGGGGCUCAACCCCGGGACUGCAUUUGAAACUGCGAGGCUGGAGUGUCGGAGAGGCAGGCGGAAUUCCUAGUGUAGCGGUGAAAUGCGUAGAUAUUAGGAGGAACACCAGUGGCGAAGGCGGCCUGCUGGACGAUGACUGACGCUGAGGCUCGAAAGCGUGGGGAGCAAACAGGAUUAGAUACCCCCGUAU